AUUCGAAUAGCUUAUGAUAGAGAGCGUGGCAUUGAAGCUGCCAAGGAGAUUUUUGAAUCUUUGAAUA
rnacentral:tRNA from 1 species